rnacentral:rRNA from 1 species
AGAGAUGUGUGAUGACGCAUAUCAAUAAGCGGAGGAAAAGAAACUAACAAGGAUUCCCUUAGUAACGGCGAGUGAAGCGGGAAGAGCUCAAAUUUGAAAUCUUCAAGGUUCUACCUUGACGAAUUGUAGUUUAUAGAAGUGUUUUCUGUUAGUGGAGUGGCAAAAGUUCUUUGGAAUAGGACAUCAUAGAGGGUGAGAAUCCCGUAUUUGGUCAUUCCUUCUAGCGUUGUGAUACACUUUCAAAGAGUCGGAUUGUUUGGGAAUGCAGUCCAAAAUGGGUGGUAAAUUUCAUCUAAAGCUAAAUAUUGGCGAGAGACCGAUAGCGAACAAGUACCGUGAGGGAAAGAUGAAAAGAACUUUGAAAAGAGAGUUAAACAGUACGUGAAAUUGUCAAAAGGGAGGCGUUUGACACCAGUGUUGUUUUUCCGAAAAUCAAUUAAGAAUGUUUUAUUUUUGAAGAGUUAUGACUUCAUCGGCUUGCUCCUUUCUUUACGAAACUUUCUUAAUGCACUUUCGGUUAACAAGUCAACAUCAAUUUCUUUUGUUGUAAAAGGGUACUGAGGAAGGUGGCUUUCUUUUCGGAGAAAGUGUUUAUAGCCUUGUACCUCUGCAAUCGGAGAGAUUGAGGUCUGCAGCGUAGAUCCUUCGGGAUUAGAUACAUUUGUGCUAAGUUAUAGCUUUUCAUAGACAACAUUGUUGACUAUGAUUUAAUCAUUGUAGCUUACUCGCUUAUGCUAUUUUACCUACGCUUAGGAUGUUGAAGAUGUAGCACAUCAU